UUUAUAAAUUUGGCCAAAAAAUGAAAACACAAAAAAUGUAUUUCCAUUUUGAGUUUUAAGUUUUUUUUUUUUUUUUUACCACCCAAAAAAUGAAAACACAAAAAAUGUAUUUCCAUUUCCUGAAAAAUGCUGCUAUAGAUGGGCUAUUGUAGCGGUUAUUGACCACAACUAAAAAUUUAAUUUUUAGUAACAUUUUUUCCCUAAAACGCUGCCAUAUUUCUUUUUAUAGUGACAGUUUGUACUCAACCGUUACAAAAAGCCAGGCAAAAUAAAGGCCCGCCAAAUUCAACUCUGAUUUCGCGCAGAAUCAUAAUUUUUUUUUUUUUUGGCUGUGUGGCUGAAUAACAUAUCAGUAUUUCAGUCCAAAAAAAAAAACCGUUCAACUCAAAUUUGUGCCCUAGUCCACAACACUUCUUUGGGGCAAGUAUCCGCGGCGACGCAUCAACAUUCAUCCUCCCCCGCGGCGUUCAUCAUCCUCCCACUGUGAUUUCAAGGGUUCCCCAUUUUGCAAAGUUGUACGUGAAGUACUUGUAGAGUUAGAACUGCCACACUUACUUCAUAGGGCUUUCUGAUGAUACCAAUGAAAGUGUUCUCAAGGAUGCUUUUGGACAGCAUGCUGAAAUAAUUGAAGGGGAUGUAACACAGACUCACAAUAUCCUUGGGAUUCUAUAUAUACCUGUGAAAUUCAUUUAAGGCAAUUUACGUUGUCAUACUUAGCAGUGAAAGUUAUAUGUGAUCACGUGACUGGAAAAUCAAAAGGAUAUGGGUUUGUGCAGUUCAAUUCUGAGACUGCAGCUGGUACAGCCUUGAGGGAAAUGGAUGGUCAGGUACAUUUUGAGUGACUUGACAUAGUUUGUCACUUGGUUGUAAAUAUGAGUUAUUGGAUGGCAGACGUAUACGCAUUCAUUAUGGACACAAGGGGUUAUGGCAGACGUAUACGCAUUCAUUAUGGACACAAGGGGUGACCACAAGGAACUGAGGUUUGAUUCAAGAACUGAGGUUUGAUUCAAUACUAGAGUAGUUUGAGUUCUGUUUUUCACUUGGGUGGUUCUUAUACAAAAUGAGAGAGAAAAACUGAAGUAGGCCUCACUCACUUCCCACAAGCAAUUAUUGACGAGGAAGUUGACCUUACAGUUUGAAUAUACCAUCUUUUCUGUUGAAUAGCUCAAUUGUUAGUGAUUGACAACAAAUGGAUCUAGUGGCAUUCCGGACCAGGCUUCUCCACAAAAACAUCAAAGAUCGUCUUUUGGGAGUCAUGAAAUGCAACCUUCUAAUCGGGGAAAUAAGACAAUAUGAAAGCAUCAAACAAUGGACGUCAUUUCUCGAUUUGAACAUUUUUCAUGGAGGUCUUUAUAAAAUGGCAUCAUGAGUAAUAUUUUUUAGUACAAUUGUCAUGUGACAAGUUUAUAUGUACCUUCUGGAUUAUGGUGUGGCUAUUAGUUUGCUAGAAAUAUUUGAUCUAUUUUGGUAUGACAAGCUUAUGUAAUGAACCUUUUAAUUAAGGUGUUUUGGAUAUUUUGGGAUUAUGAAAAUGCAAACUAUUUUAUCUUUUACAA